CAGCAGCCGCGGUAAUACGAAGGGUGCAAGCGUUAAUCGGAAUUACUGGGCGUAAAGCGUGCGUAGGCGGUUUGUUAAGUCUGUUGUGAAAUCCCCGGGCUCAACCUGGGAAUGGCAAUGGAUACUGGCAAGCUAGAGUGUGUCAGAGGAUGGUGGAAUUCCCGGUGUAGCAGUGAAAUGCGUAGAGAUCGGGAGGAACAUCAGUGGCGAAGGCGGCCAUCUGGGACAACACUGACGCUGAGGCACGAAAGCGUGGGGAGCAAACAGGAUUAGAUACCCGCGUAGUCCCUGUCUCUUAUAC
rnacentral:rRNA from 1 species